UACGAAGGGGGCUAGCGUUGUUCGGAAUUACUGGGCGUAAAGCGCACGUAGGCGGAUUUGUAAGUCAGGGGUGAAAUCCCGGGGCUCAACCUCGGAACUGCCUUUGAUACUGCAAGUCUCGAGUCCGAUAGAGGUGAGUGGAAUUCCUAGUGUAGAGGUGAAAUUCGUAGAUAUUAGGAAGAACACCAGUGGCGAAGGCGGCUCACUGGAUCGGUACUGACACUGAGGUGCGAAAGCGUGGGGAGCAAACAGG
rnacentral:rRNA from 1 species